AUAACAAGUUACCAGCGACAAAUUCCCAGGUUGGGAAAAGUUUGUAGCAAUAUGAACUAGCUGGCAAACUGACC
rnacentral:sRNA from 1 species